ACUCCUGCGGGAGGCAGCAGUGGGGAAUUUUGGACAAUGGGCGAAAGCCUGAUCCAGCAAUGCCGCGUGAGUGAAGAAGGCCUUCGGGUUGUAAAGCUCUUUUGUCAGGGAAGAAACGGUGAAAGCUAAUAUCUUUUGCUAAUGACGGUACCUGAAGAAUAAGCACCGGCUAACUACGUGCCAGCAGCCGCGGUAAUACGUAGGGUGCAAGCGUUAAUCGGAAUUACUGGGCGUAAAGCGUGCGCAGGCGGUUUUGUAAGUCUGAUGUGAAAUCCCCGGGCUCAACCUGGGAAUUGCAUUGGAGACUGCAAGGCUAGAAUCUGGCAGAGGGGGGUAGAAUUCCACGUGUAGCAGUGAAAUGCGUAGAUAUGUGGAGGAACACCGAUGGCGAAGGCAGCCCCCUGGGUCAAGAUUGACGCUCAUGCACGAAAGCGUGGGGAGCAAACAGGAUUAGAUACCCGGGUAGUCCCAUGA
rnacentral:rRNA from 1 species